rnacentral:rRNA from 1 species
GACGAACGCUGGCGGCGUGCCUAAUACAUGCAAGUAGAACGCUGAAGGAGGAGCUUGCUCUUCUGGAUGAGUUGCGAACGGGUGAGUAACGCGUAGGUAACCUGCCUGGUAGCGGGGGAUAACUAUUGGAAACGAUAGCUAAUACCGCAUAAGAGUAGAUGUUGCAUGACAUUUACUUAAAAGGUGCAAUUGCAUCACUACCAGAUGGACCUGCGUUGUAUUAGCUAGUUGGUGGGGUAACGGCUUACCAAGGCGACGAUACAUAGCCGACCUGAGAGGGUGAUCGGCCAAACUGGGACUUGGACCAGGCCCAGACUCCUACGGGAGGCAGCAGUAGGGAAUCUUCGGCAAUGGACGGAAGUCUGACCGAGCAACGCCGCGGGAGUGAAGAAGGUUUUCGGAUCGUAAAGCUCUGUUGUAAGAGAAGAACGAGUGUGAGAGUGGAAAGUUCACACUGUGACGGUAUCUUACCAGAAAGGGACGGCUAACUACGUG